GCGAUCGAGAGGAAUGAGCUUUGGAAGAGGCUCAGGAACGUGGAAUUGCUAGUAAUUCGCGGACUCAUUAAGACGCGAUGAAUACGUCCCUGUUCUUUGUACACACCGCCCGUCGUUANCGAAGACGGUGCUCGGCGCGAGCAAGGUGAAAUCACUGAGCGAGCGCAAGGUACCGGAUCAGAUACAAGUCGUAACAAGGUAGCUGUAGGAGAACCUGUAGCUGGAUCAAA
rnacentral:rRNA from 1 species